rnacentral:lncRNA from 1 species
CAUCGAUUAGGUUUCAUGUGAAGCUUUUAGGCCAGGGGCAACUUCCCGGAGGGCAGGGAAGGAAAGGAGGGAAGACCGGGGCGUUUGGGAUAGGUAGGGUUAGGCUUAGGUAGGAGAGAAUCCUAGGAUUCUGCUUAUUGCGGUGGAAGGGGAGAUGCAGAGUCCGGACACAGCGGAGAGGAUGAUAAAAUAAAGGAAUGGGAGAAUUCAGAACAGUCUAGGCACUGAGUUCCUUGGAGUGCCCUGGGAGAAAAAAACAACAUGCCUGAAUUGGGCAUAACUGCACCACAAGUGAAAUUAAGGUUCACAAGCCAACCCAAGGCUUUUUUGGUACCCAAGGCAGUGAAUGAAUUUAGCACAUACCCUAUUCAAUAUUGUGUAUUUCCCCAGUGAAGAUCAACCAGCUGCUGACAUUAUUGGGUCUUGGACAGAAAUUAAAACCUUUUUGUGUUUUUGUAUAUGCACUGACUGUUAAAUUAUUAACAAGGUAACAUGCUAAUUUAACGUAUCCAUAUUAAGUAUGAAUAACUUUUAUUCACAGCAUAUGGUGGGUUUGAUUUCUGUGUAAGAUUUAUUCAUGUUUGUAGNUGAUUUGAGUUGUUUGUUGUUGUACACUGUUCUCUGCUUAACAAACAGCAGUAUAAACAUCUUUUAAACAGAUAAGUAUGCUUCUAUGAUUCUAUGAUAAAAAGAGGAAUUAACUUCCCUUGAUACUGAAAUAAGACUAAUCAAAACCAUACAGCCUGGUUGUAGAAUUUGCCUGCUUGGAUUUAAGGUAGGUAGUACAUGCAUACAUACACUUUCCUGAUUUGCUAUUAAGAGCAAAGCUCCUUGGACUGAAGAGGAAGAAAAACAAUGUUUCAGAAUGUCCAGUAGAAAGCAGAUAGUCUGCUGUCCUUUGGACCGUUUUGCAGUUUCUCCC